ensembl:lncRNA
UGAAUCCUAUGGACAGAGAAUCCUGGUGGGCUACAGUCCAUGGGGUUGCAGAGUCAGACACUACUAAAGUGACUUAAUACAGUACUGAGAGUUAACUUUGGCAGGUUGAUAAGGAGUCCAAGCCUAAGGCCCCUUUAUGGAGGAGGUAAGCAUUCUUUUUCACAUUCUUUUGCUAUAGACAAAUAGGCCUUGUAGGCAGCAGUAUUUCUUGUUCAAGGACAUGCCUCUUUUUGAGCUUUGGAUGUAUUUUAUGGGGGAAAGUCUGGGUAAAAACUUCCACAGCCUUGGGCUCUGGAUUAACCUGUUCCUUCUGACUAAUCUAGUGCUGAUGUCAUCCCAGGAUGUAUGUUACAGGAAAGGGUCAGCAAAGUUCUCACAGCCUUAAGGUAUUUUUUGUCUAUUCUCAGAUGUAUAUAAGGCCCUACUUAAAUUAGUGAGAGUUAAAUCUCCUUCGGAGACCAUGAAUCCAGCGGCACUGUUCACUGUUUACCAAUAAGCUAUCAUCUUUGGUGCUCGUCCAGGAUCUUCAAGACAAGAUAUAAAGAAGCUCUUCUUCUCAAGUUACUGAUGGUUUAAAGCAAUUUAAUGAUUUACAUCUAUGGGUAAAAUUAAAACAUUUUUCUUCUCUCUCUGCCUCGUCCCUCCGAAAUUGGAGACACUUGGGUUCUGGACAGCCUUAUCAAGACACAAACACAUUGCUGCUAUGCUGCUGCUGCUGCUAAGUCGCUUCAGUCCUGUCCAACUCUGUGUGACCCCAUAGAUGGCAGCCCACCAGGCUCCCCUGUCCCUGGGAUUCUCCAGGCAAGAACACUGGAGUGGGUUGCCAUUUCCUUAUCCAAUGCGUGAAAGUGAAGUCGCUCAGUAAGUGUCCGACUCUUCGUGACCCCAUGGACUGCAGCCUAUCAGACUCCUCUGUUCAUGGGGUUUUCCAGGCAAGAGUACUGGAGUGGGUUGCCAUUGCCUUCUCCACAUUGCUGCUAUAGCUGUAGUUAAUUUUUCACUUCUAUAUAGUAAUACCACAGUUUAUCUACCCAUUCUUUUUUUUUUUUUGGAGUAAAAGUUUAUUUGACCAAAAUGUAGAAAAAGUGAUACUAUUACAUAUGAUUCAGUUGCAAGAACCUAAAUGAAAAGUGUGGGUUUUAUUCAGUUGCACAAUUUGCUAGUGUAUUUCUUGCAUAGUGUGGUGCUUAAUAAAUAGGAGUGAGGGCAGAGGAUUCAGAUAAGCUAGAAGCAGUGUGAUUUUUUAGUCAGAAUUGUAACCUUGAGUUGGCCCCCACACUGCUGGACAAUGUGGAAUGUUUCAGCUCUGAGAUGUUAACUGAGAAAGCAGAAAUAUAACAAGGCUAAAAUGUGCAGCCCUGUCUACAAAAUACUGCAUUUUCAGUUUAAUCAUGAGUUUCUUGUUUUUUUAUUAACUUGGUCCUGAAGAAGGAAUUAAAAUUCUAAAUAAGUAAAUCUCCAAUUUGCCAUUCCCUCGAGUAUAGAGGCGAUGAAGUUGGGUCAAUUACUUCUUUUAUUUUUACUUUGUAGUCUGAGAGGGCCAUUCUGUCCAAUAUUUGUUCAUAGAAAAACAGUCUUUCUCAAUUACUGAUGGCUAAGCAGUCUUUAUGAAAAAGACAGCUUCUCCUAAUAGGACUGAAUUCUCCAACAUUCAUUUCUCCUGAGUGAAUGGCCUCAUAUCAAAGCAGAUAAGCAUGUGUCAUUACUGGAAUAAGACAUCAGCUCCUCAGAGAACAACUUUAGAGUGAAAGAAACGUAUAGAAGAAUAUAUCAAGGAUCAGUCCAGAAAACAUUUGGGUGAUUAUUACGACUCUUUUCCAAGCAUUCUUACACUGGCUGCUCAGAUAAUGUUCUGAAUGGUGGAGUGUGGAAAAGAACCAGGAUGAUCAGGUUAACCUCUUGGUAGUUUAUGACUUCCCACAGUAACCUCACCCGCCUUUUUUGCUCUGGUGGAAAAUCACCACCCAUUUUAAUGUAGGGUUGGGAAGAUCCACUUGAGAUUUUAAUAUGAUGAUCCCUGGCCUCCUACAGUGUGACCAAUGGUGGAAUUCUUCAACCUUUUAAACUGACCCAUGACCAGAUGUCAGAAUCUGUGUUUUGAAAGUGUGGGUUUGUCUAUUCUCCCAGGAACCAAAUGCCCUCAGUCUUAAAAGAGAGUAUGCUCAAUAUGAAAUACCCUGCCUACCUUAAGAAUAUAUGCAAGGUAAGGAUAAAAAUAGAGCUGAAAAAACUGGUGCCACUUGAAAAAAAGAAAGGAGUAGAUUUAACUGGUGCUCAAAGCUUCUCUGAUACAAAAUAUUUUUCAUGUAUUCAUAAUUUCCUUGACAUUUCCAGCAAGGCGAAGAGGCAAUAACAAAAGAAACUUCUUACAAGAGAAGAGAAAGACAUGGAGCUCUGGAGUUUCUGUUGGAACAAGACUCUUCUGUUUUGGUUAUAUACAGUUUAGUUCAUUCAGUGUCUGAUCCAGUGUCUGAGAUAAGCCCCUGUUCUCUUCUUUGGCCUGGGCAAGUUUUUCUUCCAGGUCAUCAAUUGUCUUUUCCAGUUUCACAACUGUUCUCUGCAAAUUUGGUAUGGGUCUCAGCCUCUUUCAGUUUGUCAUACUGAAGUUUAAUUUCUUCUUCAUAUUUGUUCUCCUUUUCAGAAUACUUUAAAGAUGCAGCCUCUAGCAACUUCAGGUUGUUAGUGACAUUCUUGAGUUCUUCCAGGUCACCACAUUUUAGUUCAGACACCUCAUACUCCUCCGCCCUCUCCAGCUCGCCCUCCAGGAUGACCAACUUACGAGCAACCUCCUUGUAUUUGUGGUCAGCGUCCUCAGCAAUGUGCUUGGCCUCUUUAAGCUGCAUCUCCUGAAUCUCCAUCUUCUCAUUUUUCAUGGCUGGGUUUUCUAUCACCUUCAUCCCUCUCUCAGUCUCAUCUGCAGCCUUUUCUGCCUCCUCCAGCUUCGGCAGGGCUGUGGCCAGUCAUCCCUGAGCCCUGUCCCACUCCUCCUCGACAAGCUGGAUGUGUGGAUUGAGAGCUGCCACGUCAUCUUGGUCUUUCUCGUGCUGCUCAUGCUGCAGGCCCUGUGUGCGGUCCUCCGCCUCAUCUGCUUGCUGCUGCAGGGCCUACAUCUUGCGUUUCACCGCCUCCAGGGAGUUGAGGCCAGCCAUGGCACAGAGGUGUACACAGCAGGCAGUGGUGGGUGCUCAGCUCUGGUCAACUCUGGCAAGCUCUACCCAUUAUUAUUUCCAUCAAUGUUGCCAUGAAUGCUUGUGUAUAUGUCUCCUGCUGGGACCUAAGGCAGGCAAAUGCUCAGUUUUAUAAGAUAAUGACAAAAUUAUUUUUAGAAGUAGUAUUAAAUGGGAAUAGUAAUGCCUGCUUUACCUCCCUUAUAGGUAGUUGUAAGAGUAACACAAGCUAGUGGAUGUGAAAACACGUUACACAUUAAUACAUUAAGGUGGCACAAUUGGCAUGCUGGUUUUGAGUCCAAGCUCAGACUCCUGAAGGGUGUGUCCUGUGCAUACUGAUUUCAAGGACCAGAAAGACUGACUGUUCCAUAUCAAUUUAAAGUAUUUCUAGAAUUUUCUCAUGAUAAAGACUAGACUCUUAGAUUCUGAGGCAGAUGUCUGUUUGUUUUCCUACCUGAUCAGCAGCCUUUCCUCAUUUCUUCCAAUAACAGCACCUCAAUUUUCCAAAGAACUACCUCUGUUCCAUUGAGGACACUUGAGUGUCCUCAAGUGCCCUGCUCUCCCUAGCCAGCUUACUGGGGUUUAUUACUGCUAUUGUCAUGGCUUUGUUUCUUUGCUUUAUCUUGCUUGAUCUUUAAAGACUUCUUUCACUUCUAAGUCCAGCAUGAUAAACUGAUUACAAAAAUGGUCACAGGUGUUUACACCUCUCUGUAUGUACACCUUUUGCAGCUCUUCCCUUUAAGAGAUGACAUCUGUUUCUCUACCCUUCAAAUCUAGAAUAGUCUUGUGUUUUCCUUUGAUCAAUAGAAUGUUGCAGAAGUGAUAUUAUGUCAGUUCUAAGCCUUGCAUGCUUCUGCUCACUCCAUUGGACCCCUGGAGUUACCAUGGGAAUGAGCCUGGGCUAGUCUUCUGGAGGAGAGACCCAUUUGUCUAGCUAUAUCCAGCCAGACCAGCUUAGACCUGUCAGUCCUCAACCAACCCACAAGCCACAGAUACAUAAGUGAGCCCAGCUAAGAUCUGCCAAGCCUAGUGCAGAUCAACAGAGCACUGACCUAUAGACUCUUGAGCAACAAUACAUGGUUUGGUUUCAAGCUACUGAGUUUUGGAUGGUUUAUCAUGCAGCAGUUGCUAACUCACACAAUAAAAAAUAUGUUUUAUGCCGAAUCUGGUUGUUCUUUCGUAGGAACGCCCUGCUGCUGCUGCUGCUAAGUUGCUUCAGUCGUGUCUGACUCUGUGCGACCCCAUAGAUGGCAGCUCACCAGGCUUCCCCGUCCGUGGAAUUCUCCAGGCAAGAACACUGGAGUGGGUUGCCAUUUCCUUCUCCAAUGCAUGAAAGUGAAAAGUGAAAGUGAAGUUGCUCAAUCGUGUCCCACUCUUAGCAACCCCAUGGACUGCAGCCUACCAGGCUCCCCCAUCCCUGGGGUUCUCCAGGCAAGAACACUGGAGUGGGUUGCCAUUUCCUUCUCCAAUGCAUGAAAGUGAAAAGUGAAAGUGAAGUCGCUCAGUCGUGUCUGACUCUGGCGACCUCAUGGACUGCAGCCUCCCAGGCUCCUCCGUCCGUAGGAUUUUCCAGGCAAAAGUACUGGAGUGGGGUGCCAUUGCCUUCUCCGAGGAACACCCUUCAAGAUAUUUAUUCUUCUGUACUAUCUCUCCCACUACUUCACCAUUUUCUUCUUAGAAUGUCUCUUAAUGUCAUUUCUGAGUUUCUAUUUUCAGCUACCUUCUCACUAUUCUCCCUGGUCAGUUUCAUCCUAUCACAUGGCCUCAACUCUUACCUUUAUACAGAUGACUCCCAAAUCUACCUCUGUGUGAACUUUACUGAGCAGAGUCAGAGUUCAAAUGGUCUACUGGGCAAGUCUAUAUAAUAUUCUCCCAGAAAAAUCAUGACUCAAUAUGUUCAAAUGUGAAGUCUUACUCACACUCCUUCAUUGUUUCCUAUAUCUCCUCAUCCUCUAGCUUGAUUUCUCUAUCUCUAGAUAGUGUCACUACCAUCCUCACAUCACUCAGGCCAAAAAGUUCAUCACCUAAAACUCUCCAUAUGCCCAGUAAUUCUGCAAUGUCUCAUAUCUGUCCCUUCUCUCUAUCUUCAUAGUCCCUCCUCCUUCUGCUUCUUUUUUUUCCUCUUUUCCUCUUUCUUUGUUCUUGCUAUCAAAGUGUGACCAGUAGUCCAGCAACAUCAGCAUCAUUUGGGGAGACUAUUAGAAUGCAGAAUAUUGGGCCCCAUCUAAAGAUCUAUUCAAUCAGAAUCUGCAUUUUAACAAAAUCCGUGCUGCUGCUGCUAAGUCACUUCAGUCGUGUCCAACUCUGUGUGACCCCAUAGACGGCAGCCACCAGGCUCCCCCAUCCCUGGGAUUCUCCAGGCAAGAACACUGGAGUGGGUUGCCAUUUCCUUCUCCAAUGCAUGAAAGUGAAAAGUGAAAGUGAAGUCGCUCAGUCGUGUCCAACUCUUCGCGACCCCAUGGACUGCAGCCUACCAGGCUCCUCCAUCCAUGGGAUUUUCCAGGCAAGAGUACUGGAGUGGGGUUCCAUUGCCUUCUCCAAACAAAAUCCCUAGAUAAUUCAUAUGCACAUUAAAGUACAGUUAGCAACUCCCUAGUUAAGUCUCAAUCAGGAUAGGUAUAAGUCCUCACCAGUGUAUAACCUAUGCACCAUGUUAGUGGCACUCAAGCCCAGCUGCACAUCAGAAUACCUGAGAAGUCUUCAAUUUUCCAUUUAUCUUUUUAUUAUUUAAUCUUUUUAAAAAUAAUACAUUUAUUAGUUGUUUCUUCAAUAGAGAAAUACAAAGAAGGAAAUUACAGUUGAAUUAUGCCUUGCCCAGAUAAUGCCAAAUGACUUUUCUUUUUUGACAAAAGGAAAAUUUACCUAAGGUUAGGCAACUCAAACAGAAUAAAAUAUACAAAAUGAAGAACUGCUAGCACCACCUCAAUUCCAACUCUUUUUCUCAAAUAUUGCUGUUCUUAAUCAGAAUUAACAUCCUAGGAAAUAAUUAACCACAUACCUGCAUAUAUGUUUAUUCUUUUGUUUAAAAAGUAUAAAUUACUCCCUUUUAAUCAUCAUGAUUUUUAUAUUUAAUAUAUCUUAUUUUUCUACAAGCAUAUACAGAGCAUUUCAUAAUUGUUAAACCACAUGGUAUUCCAUUAGAUAGAUGAUUCCAUCUGAUGGAUCAAUUCCCUAUUGACAAGUACUUUGACUGCUUCCAGUUUUAGCUAUUACAAACAAUGCUGCAGUUACCAUGCAUCAGCAUAUGUGUGUGUGUGUGUGUGCACACACGCGCCCGCGCUGUGUUUAGUCGUGUCCAACUCUUAGUGACUCUAUGGACCGUAGCCUGCCAGGCUCCUCUGCCCAUGGGAUUUUUCAGGCAAGAAUACUGGAGUGGGUAGACAUUUCCUUCUCCAGGGGAUCUUCCCGACCCAGAGAUUGAACCUGCAUCUCUUGCAUUGCAGGCGGCUUCUUUACCUCUGAGCCACAAGGGUAGUCUAUCCAUCAGCAUAUAUUUUGAUAAAGUUCUGCAAGUAUAUCCAUAGGGUAAAUUUUUAGUCCAAAAUUGCUGAAUAUAUUGGUUAGGGUGAUUUUGGUUACAAGUAACGAAACACAAUUCCAGGGGUAGGGUGAGCUAGAGCUACCCAGUUUCUUUAAGUGUCUCUACUGUGCAGUCCCUACUUUAUCCAAGUAGUUUUUUUCAGUGUGAUCCCUGGACCAGCAGCAUCAAUCUCACCUGAGAAUUUCUUAGAAAAGGAAAUCCUUUGUCCCUACCACAGAUCUGCAGAAUUUGAAACUCUGAAAGUAGAUAAAGAUCAGCAAUCUAUGUUUUAACAGAUUAGGUGAUUCUGAUGAACACUAAAGACUGAGAACCAGUGCUUUAAGCCAAGGUGCCAAUGAAAUCGCUGACAGUGGCAAUGGAAGCUUUGAAUCUCUUCAUCAAGUCCAGCAGAGAAGAGAAAACUCUGACCCAACAUUCCAAGUAAGUAGGACUCCCAUGGUUCUCCCUCACUGACUUGCUUAGGUCACAAGUCCUCUGAACUAAUGUUGUUUGUGGUCAGAAGAACUGAGAAUAAAAUCUGUUUACCCGCAAAUACGUGGGCUAUGAGUGGGAAGAAUAGACACAUAAAUAAAAAUCUACAACUUCUUGGGAAGGAAAAAAAUGGGGAAUGAUUACUGAGAAGGCACGAGCAACACCUACAACAUUCAAAGAAUAUCUGCAUGUUUUAUUUUGAUAUAUUCUACCAAAUUAUACAUCAAAAAAGUUGUAACAACGUCAAGCCCACCAGCAGCAUAUGAAAACAUCUAGGAUUUCUUCAUACCCUGACUUACUCUGUUUAAAUCAUACUUUAAACAUUUCCCAGUCUUAUAGAUAAAGAUGGCAUUUUAUUGUUUUGAUUUAUAUGCCUUUACUCAUGGAUGAAAUUAAACAUCUUUUCAAAUCUCUAUUGAUGUGUGCAUGUCUUUCUCUGUAGAUUACUUGCUUAUUCUUUAGCUCACUUUACUAUUGGGUUUUGUCUUUUUCAUGUUAGUUCUUCUGAAUUUGUUGUAAAUUAAAUUAGCCUUUUAUCAUAUAUGAUGCAAAUAUGUUUUCCCAGCUUUGUUGACCUUUUGAAUUUGUUUAUGGUAUUCUCCCCCACCCUCCCGCCACCAAAGCUUUAACUUUUAUGCAGUGAAAUUCAUCAGUAUUUUUCUUUACUGGAAUCUGUAUUUGGGAUUUUGCUUUAAAAGGGCCUUCCCCCAUGUCCACCUUUCCAGGUGAACAUCAGUCAAG